rnacentral:rRNA from 1 species
AUUGAACGCUGGCGGCAGGCCUAACACAUGCAAGUCGAGCGGAGCGGCGGACGGGUGAGGAAUGCCUAGGAAUCUGCCUGGUAGUGGUGGAUAACGUCCAGAAACGGGAGCUAAUACCGCUUACUAUCAGAUGAGCCUAGGUCGGAUUAGCUAGUGGGUGGGGUAAAGGCCUACCAAGGCGACGAUCCGUAACUGGUCUGAGAGGAUGAUCAGUCACACUGGAACUGAGACACGGUCCAGACUCCUACGGGAGGCAGCAGUGGGGAAUAUUGGACAAUGGGCGAAAGCCUGAUCCAGCCAUGCCGCGUGUGUGAAGAAGGUCUUCGGAUUGUAAAGCACUUUAAGUUGGGAGGCGUUACCCGCAGAAUAAGCACCGGCUAACUUCGUGCCAGCCGCCGCGGUAAUUC